UCGGAAGGCCCACAUUGAUAUUCGACGUUAUGGCAGGCUUUUCUUUCUUCUCUUCCCCCAUUCUAUUGCAGCCCCUCUCGCCCCCUUCGUCGUCUGUGGAGGCAAUGGCUGCUGCUGUCGCAUCACUGGUGCCUUUAGAAGAGUAUGUUGUGAGGUCCAGCCCUGGAGGGAGCAGCCGAUCAGCCAUAUGAUAGGGCUUCCCCACCUGUGUUAGGAAGCCUACACUCAACUUGGCAUGCCAACUUCACUCACAAGUUUAGGUGAUGAUGUCCUACCACUCCGUUUUUACAAUCUGGCAUAUGCCACCCUCAAUCACAUACAUAUAUUCAAGGAAGAAAAUGUUGCUUGGUUGCAGCAAGAGCCAGUUUGACUUUAUAGAUAAAUUUCUUGAUGGGCUUCGGUUCAGCUGCUUGAAUGCACAUGGCGGCCAUCCUUUUUGCUAAAAGCUUGUAUGAAGUCUAGUGGGCUCUGAAUGGGCUUAUUAUCAAUGGGUAUGACUGCCAUCUCUUCUUGUGUGUAGGGCAUGAUGAGGUCCUGUGGGCAGAAUAACACAUUGUCUACCACAACAACUAUAUUCUUGCCAUGUUCCUGGAAAGGGCCCUUGAGGACCUUUGGGGUAGUCUUCUCCAACAGUAGAUAUUUGUCAAUACUAUCUUGUAUAAUAUGUUUGAGCAGGAUGCAAUCUUCUGUGUUGUGGCCUAAAAUGUGAUGAAACUUGAAGAACUGAUUUCUUAUCCCCUUCAUUUAUGAAUGAUCUGAUAUGCAAUGGAGUUUGUA